AAUAUUGGACAAUGGGGGCAACCCUGACCCAGCCAUGCCGCGAGUGUGAAUAAGGUCUUCGGAUUGUAAAGCACUUUAAGUUGGGUGGAACGGCUUUAGGCCUAUACCCUGAAGUUUUGACGUUACCAGCAGAAUAAGCACCGGCUAACUCUGUGCCAGCAGCCGCGGUAAUGCAGAGGGUGCAAGCGUUAAUCGGAAUUACUGGGCGUAAAGCGCGCGUAGGUGGUUCAGUAAGAUGGGUGUGAAAUCCCCGGGCUUAACCUGGGAACUGCUUUCAUAACUGCUGAGCUAGAGUACGGUAGAGGGUAGUGGAAUUUCCUGUGUAGCGGUGAAAUGCGUAGAUAUAGGAAGGAACACCAGUGGCGAAGGCGACUACCUGGACUGAUACUGACACUGAGGUGCGAAAGCGUGGGGAGCAAACAG
rnacentral:rRNA from 1 species